GUUCAUCAGCGCCUUUUUUUGAAUAAUUUUGAAAAACACAUUUUUUUAAAGAAAAGAAAAUCACAUUCCUGAAAUAUUUCCCAAUAAAAGCUUAGACCCAGUUUUAAAACUUAGAUUUUUUUAUUAUCUCAAUGAGCUGCUAAUAGCUGUUCUGAGAUGCAUUUGGUUUAAUUUGAUUUUAGAGCUAAACUGUUGUAGCUGUGCGUAAAGGCGCAGCUUUCCUCAGCAGCGUGUUCGCGCUUUUAUUUUGGCAGCAGAGCCGCAGGAAGCAGCCCCCGCAGAUUGUGCGUAAAUCAUGUGGUUUUGUUACCCGCCACUGCGCCUCGGUCAUCAGAGCGGCAGCUGGUUCUCUUGAGUUCAUAACGCCGGCCUCCAGCUUCAGGCCUGCUUCUCUGCUGUCCUCAGAGACCAAGUUUAUUGGAUCAGUGCUUCUUCAGAUCCUGCCUGUAGGUUUCUCUGGGGCCUUCAGCUCUCCCCCCACAGACUAAAGCUCCCACCUGUGUGGUGGACUCCCUACCUGUGCAGGUUUCCCUGGAGAGCCUGUCUCCAUCGAUCUUUCGCCCCCCUCACGCCCUCGCCACCUCAGAUCACGUCAGAUGCGACACUAAUCCAGACAUGGAGGAUUAGCAGAGGAGAAGCAGGGAUUCAGCUGCAUUCCUCAAUAGAAAGGCAUGCAGAGGGAAUGAGAAUUAAAAACGGGUCAAACGCGGGGUGCGUGUGCUGUCUGUGUGAGCGCUCACAUGUGCAUGAGGAUUGACUCCAGGGAUUUUAACGUAAACUGACCCAGAAACAUGAAAGCAGUGAAAAAGCAGACUGUGGGGGAACAGACAGCAAUGAUGAGGCAAAUGAGCAUGAAAGUGAAUUAAGUGGAGUUGGUGUCAUGCUGAUCGCCUCUCUGUGACUAAUUUCCUCCCUUUUUACUGUGACUUUGCUUGUUUAAAAACGAUCUGAUAAAAGAACUGAUACUCAAAGAUGGUCAACGGUAUCAGUGAAGGUGGAAUCAUUUGAUCAAUUAUAACACUGUAUUUUUUUUAUAUUUAUUUUGUUUUUUAAUUAUACAAUUUUCUUUUAAUGAUUACAAUGCUGCUACGGGAACGCACACAUUUCCCACGUGUGGGAUCAAUAAAGUAUUUGUAAUUCUGAUUUUCAGAGGGAGUCAGGGACUGCUGCUGGUAAAACAGAUGGAGGGAAUUCAUGUUGAAUCACACUCAUGCUGCAGUUCCAGAGACUUCCUGAUGAUGGAACGUAUUGAAUAUGCCCCAAAAGCUUAGGAUGCAUUCACACUGUUUGGAUCUAGACCAGAACUGGUUUCCUCUGAUGGUCCUCUUGAUUAGGCGAGUGUGAAAGCUCACAAACGGAACACUUAGACCUCUUCUGAACAUCGGUCUAUGUUUGCAAAUACACUCAUUGUGGUUUGUUUUAAUGUGAAUGCUUAGCAGACUAUCCUUAGGGAGGAAAGGAACCAAAGAAAGUGAAUGACACCGUGGAUGAUGAGUAAGGGAGGAUAAAAACUGUCCACGGCACCAUCCAUUUUAGGUCAGUGAAUCGGAUCGAAUCAUUUAAAAUGAACCAAUAUUGACUAUGAAUCAAUCUGGUUAAAAUAGCAAAAAGCCUGGUUCCAGUUUCCCAUUGGCUUAAGGCAGGGGUGUCAAAUAUACGGCCCGCCAGAUGGUUCAGUCCGGCCCAGUCAUGAAGAGUAAAAAUUCUAAGAAUGUUUAAAAAAGAAAGCAUGUUUUCUAGUCCAUUCCUGUGGUGAGUUAUGAUUUUUUAAAGAAAUAACCGAAAUGCGCAAUUCGGCCUCUAGGGGGAAAUGCAUAUCUUUGCACCUGCCAAAAGUGAAACAUAACGGCUUUGUGUCUAAAUAAGAUGUAGUUUGGUUCCCCGCAAGCCCCACUGCUGUUACAUUGUUAUAAGAAUGACCAGUAGUGACACCCUAAUGACCAAGAUGCUGUCAAAAAGAAAAAAAGGGUUGAAGUGAAGUGCUGAGCUUUCCAGGAAAAAUGGACAAAGUUUUAUUUGUGUUGAGUUGAAUGCAAAACCUGCGUGCUUAUGUCAUCAACAGGUGGCAGUGCUCAAAGAAUAUAAUAUUCAGCACCACUAUGAGACAAUGAGGAAAGUUUCACCAUUUGCAGUUAAGAAAAGAGAGGAUUUACCAACUAAAAGCUGGACUGAAAAAAAAACGUCUGCAUUUACUGCAGCAUGACGUCAGUGAUGGAGCAGUGAUGGACACCUGAUUGCAGACAAGUUGGAGCAAACAUCCAAACCAUUUUCAGAUGCUGAACCUAUAGAAAAAUGCUGAAGGCUGCAGAAGUCUUGUUCCCAAAAAGCAG
rnacentral:lncRNA from 1 species